rnacentral:rRNA from 1 species
UGCUCAGUAACACGUGGAGAACGUGCCCUUAAGUGGAGGAUAAUCUCGGGAAAUUGAGGAUAAUACUCCAUAGAUCAUGGGAUCUGGAAUGACCCAUGGUUCAAAGUUCCGGCGCUUAAGGAUCGCUCUGCGGCCUAUCAGGUAGUAGUGGGUGUAAUGUACCCCCUAGCCUACGACGGGUAUGGGCCUUGAGAGAGGGAGCCCAGAGUUGGAUUCUGAGACACGAAUCCAGGCCCUACGGGGCGCAGCAGUCGCGAAAACUUCACACUGGGGGGAACCCCGAUGAGGGAAAUCCUAGUGCUAGGACAUUUGUUCUAGCUUUUCUCAAGCGUAGAUAACUUGAGGAAUAAGGGCUGGGUAAGACGGGUGCCAGCCGCCGCGGUAAUACCUGCAGCCCAAGUGGUGGUCGAUUUUAUUGAGUCUAAAACGUUCGUAGCCGGUUUGGUAAAUCUUUGGGUAAAUCGGGAGGCUCAACUUUCCGACUUCCGAAGAGACUGCCAAACUUGGGACCGGGAGAGGCUAGAGGUACUUCUGGGGUAGGGGUAAAAUCCUGUAAUCCUAGAAGGACCACCGGUGGCGAAGGCGUCUAGCUAGAACGGAUCCGACGGUGAGGGACGAAGCCCUGGGUCGCAAACGGGAUUAGAUACCCCGGUAGUCAAGGGUGUAAACGCUGCCGACUUGGUGUUGGAGGCCCUUCGGGGGCAUUCAGUGCCGGAGAGAAGUUGUUAAGUCGGCUACUUGGGGAGUACGUCCGCAAGGAUGAAACUUAAAGGAAUUGGCGGGGGAGCACCGCAACGGGAGGAGCGUGCGGUUUAAUUGGAUUCAACACCGGAAAACUCACCAAGGGCGACUAUCACAUGAAAGCCAGGCUAACGACCUUGCUUGAUUCUUAGAGAGGUGGUGCAUGGCCGUCGUCAGUUCGUACCGUAAGGCGUCCUGUUAAGUCAGGCAACGAGCGAGACCCACGCCCUUAGUUACCAGCUUAUCCUUUUUUGGAUGAUGGGCACACUAAGGGGACCGCCUAUGAUAAAUAGGAGGAAGGAGUGGACGACGGUAGGUCCGUAUGCCCCGAAUCCUCUGGGCAACACGCGGGCUACAAUGGCUGAGACAAUGGGUUCCGACACCGAAAGGUGGAGGUAAUCCUCUAAACUUAGUCGUAGUUCGGAUUGAGGACUGUAACUCGUUCUCAUGAAGCUGGAAUGCGUAGUAAUCGCGUAUCACUAUUGCGCGGUGAAUACGUCCCUGCUCCUUGCACACACCG